UAUCGAGGAUGACUGUUUGCUGAGACU
rnacentral:piRNA from 1 species